rnacentral:rRNA from 1 species
AGUAAGCGUGGGUAACUGCCUCAUACAGGGGGAUAACAGUUAGAAAUGACUGCUAAUACCGCAUAAGCGCACAGUGCUGCAUGGCACAGUGUGAAAAACUCCGGUGGUAUGAGAUGGACCCGCUCUGAUUAGCUAGUUGGUGGGGUAACGGCCUACCAAGGCGACGAUCAGUAGCCGGCCUGAGAGGGUGAACGGCCACAUUGGGACUGAGACACGGCCCAA